rnacentral:rRNA from 1 species
UAGGGAAUCUUCGGCAAUGGGGGCAACCCUGACCGAGCAACGCCGCGUGAGUGAAGAAGGUUUUCGGAUCGUAAAGCUCUGUUGUAAGAGAAGAACGUGUGUGAGAGUGGAAAGUUCACACAGUGACGGUAACUUACCAGAAAGGGACGGCUAACUACGUGCCAGCAGCCGAGGUAAUACGUAGGUCCCGAGCGUUGUCCGGAUUUAUUUGGCGUAAAGCGAGCGCAGGCGGUUUAAUAAGUCUGAAGUUAAAGGCAGUGGCUUAACCAUUGUUCGCUUUGGAAACUGUUAAACUUGAGUGCAGAAGGGGAGAGUGGAAUUCCAUGUGUAGCGGUGAAAUGCGUAGAUAUAUGGAGGAACACCGGUGGCGAAAGCGGCUCUCUGGUCUGUAACUGACGCUGAGGCUCGAAAGCGUGGGGAGCAAACAGG